GGCACAUGUACCAUGUGUCCUGCUGACAGUAAAAGGUGAGCUACUUUCCAUCCAAGGAACAAUUGAAAUGUCUCCAAUACAAGACGCUGUGAGAAGGUCAUAGAGAUGAUAGGUAAAGAGUUUUCUCUGUGUUUAUUACCUCUCAGUGGAGUCAUUCUCUGGAUUAUUGCCAGAUGCAAAACUCUUCAAGGGCCAGGUGGCAACUCCCACCGCCCCAGUUAAGCCACACUCACUCAAUGUACCAGCA
rnacentral:lncRNA from 1 species